rnacentral:rRNA from 1 species
GAUGAACGCUGGCGGCGUGCCUAAUACAUGCAAGUCGAGCGAACAGACGAGGAGCUUGCUCCUCUGACGUUAGCGGCGGACGGGUGAGUAACACGUGGAUAACCUACCUAUAAGACUGGGAUAACUUCGGGAAACCGGAGCUAAUACCGGAUAAUAUAUUGAACCGCAUGGUUCAAUAGUGAAAGACGGUUUUGCUGUCACUUAUAGAUGGAUCCGCGCCGCAUUAGCUAGUUGGUAAGGUAACGGCUUACCAAGGCAACGAUGCGUAGCCGACCUGAGAGGGUGAUCGGCCACUCUGGAACUGAGACACGGUCCAGACUCCUACGGGAGGCAGCAGUAGGGACUCUUCCGCAAUGAGCGAAAGCUUGACGGAGCAACGCCGCGUGAGUGAUGAAGGUCUUCGGAUCGUAAAACUCUGUUAUUAGGGAAGAACAAAUGUGUAAGUAACUAUGCACGUCUUGACGGUACCUAAUCAGAAAGCCACGGCUAACUACGUG